GUCCACGAGUCCCCCAGGGAGGUCCAGAGCGCAUUUUCACUUGGGGUGACAUUGUCCCGCAGCAGUGCCACGGCCUCGGACGUUAGAAUGACUAACACCUGGGUCUGCCUUCCCAUCUAGACUGGAGGCUCCUCAAAAGCAGGCAAUUGUCUGGAUUAUAUCUACUCCCUUCUAAGCACCUCUACCUCCAUUAGAGCAACUGGCACCCUUCGUUCUACCUGUGGACCUUGUCUACCCCCUACUCAUCCAGGAUUGCAUCUGAUUUGUCCCGGUGGCCAGACCGUUCAGCUCAAGAGCUGGUCCAGAGGAAAAGUUGGCAGAUUCGAGUGGAAUUGAGUUCCUCCAUGGAUGCCCAUGUCUGAGAUAAGGUGAAGUUCGCUGUGCAGGACUAACGGUGGCAAUGCUGACCCCAGACUCACAUUGACUGGAUACUGGGAAACGUCCGCCAUAACCACAGUUGAAUAACGCUUCCUCUGCUCUGUGGGGGGUGUGGGAGGAGAAGGAGGAUGGACCCAGGAGCCCUGCUUCCAGUCCCUCCUCCCUCAGACCCAGGAGUCCAGACUCCCAGCCCCUCCUCCCUCAGACCCAGGAGUCCAGGCCCUCAGCCCCUCCUCCCUCAGAUCCAGGACUCCAGGUCCUCAGUUCCCUCACUCUUCAGAUCCUGUUUCUCUCUGCCUGGGGUUUCCUUGCCUGAAAACUCACCAUAAAUGGACUU